GACGAACGCUGGCGGCGUGCUUAACACAUGCAAGUCGAACGGAAAGGCCCUGCUUUUGUGGGGUGCUCGAGUGGCGAACGGGUGAGUAACACGUGAGUAACCUGCCCUUGACUUUGGGAUAACUUCAGGAAACUGGGGCUAAUACCGGAUAGGAGCUCCUGCUGCAUGGUGGGGGUUGGAAAGUUUCGGCGGUUGGGGAUGGACUCGCGGCUUAUCAGCUUGUUGGUGGGGUAGUGGCUUACCAAGGCUUUGACGGGUAGCCGGCCUGAGAGGGUGACCGGCCACAUUGGGACUGAGAUACGGCCCAGACUCCUACGGGAGGCAGCAGUGGGGAAUAUUGCACAAUGGGCGGAAGCCUGAUGCAGCAACGCCGCGUGCGGGAUGACGGCCUUCGGGUUGUAAACCGCUUUCGCCUGUGACGAAGCGUGAGUGACGGUAAUGGGUAAAGAAGCACCGGCUAACUACGUGCCAGCAGCCGCGGUGAUACGUAGGGUGCGAGCGUUGUCCGGAUUUAUUGGGCGUAAAGGGCUCGUAGGUGGUUGAUCGCGUCGGAAGUGUAAUCUUGGGGCUUAACCCUGAGCGUGCUUUCGAUACGGGUUGACUUGAGGAAGGUAGGGGAGAAUGGAAUUCCUGGUGGAGCAGUGGAAUGCGCAGAUAUCAGGAGGAACACCAGUGGCGAAGGCGGUUCUCUGGGCCUUUCCUGACGCUGAGGAGCGAAAGCGUGGGGAGCGAACAGGCUUAGAUACCCUGGUAGUCCACGCUGUAAACGGUGGGUACUAGGUGUGGGGUCCAUUCCACGGGUUCCGUGCCGUAGCUAACGCUUUAAGUACCCCGCCUGGGGAGUACGGCCGCAAGGCUAAAACUCAAAGGAAUUGACGGGGCCCCGCACAAGCGGCGGAGCAUGCGGAUUAAUUCGAUGCAACGCGUAGAACCUUACCUGGGUUUGACAUGGAUCGGGAGCGCUCAGAGAUGGGUGUGCCUCUUUUGGGGUCGGUUCACAGGUGGUGCAUGGCUGUCGUCAGCUCGUGUCGUGAGAUGUUGGGUUAAGUCCCGCAACGAGCGCAACCCUUGUUCACUGUUGCCAGCACGUUAUGGUGGGGACUCAGUGGAGACCGCCGGGGUCAACUCGGAGGAAGGUGGGGAUGACGUCAAGUCAUCAUGCCCCUUAUGUCCAGGGCUUCACGCAUGCUACAAUGGCUGGUACAGAGAGUGGCGAGCCUGUGAGGGUGAGCGAAUCUCGGAAAGCCGGUCUCAGUUCGGAUUGGGGCCUGCAACUCGACCUCAUGAAGUCGGAGUCGCUAGUAAUCGCAGAUCAGCAACGCUGCGGUGAAUACGUUCCCGGG
rnacentral:rRNA from 1 species